rnacentral:misc_RNA from 1 species
GAUGAAGAACGUAGCGAAAUGCGAUAAGUAAUGUGAAUUGCAGAAUUCCGUGAAUCAUCGAAUCUUUGAACGCACAUUGCGCCCCCUGGUAUUCCGGGGGGCAUGCCUGUCCGAGCGUCAUUGCAACCCUCAAGCGCGGCUUGUGUGUUGGGCUUCGUCCCCCCGUGGACGUGUCCGAAAGGCAGUGGCGGCGUCCCGAAUGGUGCCCGAGCGUAUGGGAACUCUCUUCCGCUCGAACCGGCCCAUUCGGCGCUGGUCGAACCCCAAUUUUUUUUUACCGGUUGACCUCGGAUCAGGUAGGGAUACCCGCUGAACUUAAGCAUAUCAAUAAGCGGAGGA